CUGUCAAUUCUGCUUCUUUUUUGGACAAGUCUGCUUUUGCUAACUCCAGCUAAAAUGAAGAAAAUGAAAAAAAGGUUUUAUGCAGAAUAUCUUUCGAGCUAAGUACAGAUGCAUCUCUUAUCACCUUUUCCUGAAUUUCUUCGUCAAGUUUGCGCGCUGGACUAGAGAAAUCUUCCAUGUUGUCUAUGAAGAACUGCCGUUGGUUGACAAGCAAUCAAAUACGCAAUUUUAUUUGUUUAUAAGACACGAAGAAUCGAUAUAAGUGUUGAAUAAAAGGAAUGUCUCUUAAAAUGCAGCUACCAAAAGAAACGCUUCGUUGAAAUGAAGGACGACAAAACGGUUCUUUAACAUAAAUCCUCGCUUUCCAUUGUAACCAAUUUAUAAAUAGCAAAACACGAUAAUGACGAUGGUUAAAGUUAGUUGCAGGAUACAGGAUACGAACCAUGAACGAGAAAUUCCCCUAAUUAUUUUGACAAUUUCACAGCGUUAAUAUCUUCACAACUUUAUCACUAGUCGAAACGUUCAAGUAGUAAAACAAUCAAGUAAUUUGAAACCAACAAUAAACUGCCAAUUCAGGAUGUCACUCA